rnacentral:misc_RNA from 1 species
AGUAAGUUAUUGCCAGGGUUUUUAUUUUAUACUUUAAACAUUGAUUUUAUUUUUUAUAUUUUUAGAUGUUCAUGUUUUUGAAUGUUUUAUUUUAAUAAUAUAAAAAAUAAAAUAUAUAUUGACAUGGAUUAAACAAAGAUAUAUAUUAUUCUAUGUUGCAUAAGCAAAUUGGCAAAAUAGAGAUGGAAGAUAAAAAUAUGGUCAAAGUAAUAAGAGUC